GACGAACGCUGGCGGCGUGCCUAAUACAUGCAAGUAGAACGCUGAAGAGAGGAGCUUGCUCUUCUUGGAUGAGUUGCGAACGGGUGAGUAACGCGUAGGUAACCUGCCUGGUAGCGGGGGAUAACUAUUGGAAACGAUAGCUAAUACCGCAUAAAAUGGAUUAUCGCAUGAUAAUCCAUUGAAAGGUGCAAAUGCAUCACUACCAGAUGGACCUGCGUUGUAUUAGCUAGUUGGUGGGGUAACGGCUCACCAAGGCGACGAUACAUAGCCGACCUGAGAGGGUGGUCGGCCACACUGGGACUGAGACACGGCCCAGACUCCUACGGGAGGCAGCAGUAGGGAAUCUUCGGCAAUGGACGGAAGUCUGACCGAGCAACGCCGCGUGAGUGAAGAAGGUUUUCGGAUCGUAAAGCUCUGUUGUAAGAGAAGAACGAGUGUGAGAGUGGAAAGUUCACACUGUGACGGUAUCUUACCAGAAAGGGACGGCUAACUACGUG
rnacentral:rRNA from 1 species